GAAAUAAUAUAAUAAAGCUUCUAACUUUAAACAUAAUGAAUAAAAAUUCAUUUUAUUUCC
rnacentral:tRNA from 2 species